CCUUCGAUAGCUCAGUUUUGUAGAGCGGGGGGGUUGUAGAUUUAUAAUUGUGAUCCCUAGGUCGCUGGUUCGAAUCCGGCUCUAAGGA
rfam:Nematostella vectensis strain CH2 x CH6 NEMVEscaffold_285_Cont22394, whole genome shotgun sequence.